CCUACGGGGUGCUGCAGUGGGGAAUAUUGGACAAUGGGCGAAAGCCUGAUCCAGCCAUGCCGCGUGUGUGAAGAAGGCCUUCGGGUUGUAAAGCACUUUCAGUGGGGAAGAAAGCCUUGGGGCUAAUACCCUCGAGGAAGGACAUCACCCACAGAAGAAGCACCGGCUAACUCCGUGCCAGCAGCCGCGGUAAUACGGAGGGUGCGAGCGUUAAUCGGAAUUACUGGGCGUAAAGCGCGCGUAGGCGGUCUGAUAAGCCGGUUGUGAAAGCCCCGGGCUCAACCUGGGAGCGGCAUCCGGAACUGUCAGGCUAGAGUGCAGGAGAGGAAGGUAGAAUUCCCGGUGUAGCGGUGAAAUGCGUAGAGAUCGGGAGGAAUACCAGUGGCGAAGGCGGCCUUCUGGACUGACACUGACGCUGAGGUGCGAAAGCGUGGGUAGCAAACAGGAUUAGAUACCCCGGUAGUC
rnacentral:rRNA from 1 species